CAGCAGCCGCGGGAAUACGUAGGUGGCAAGCGUUGUCCGGAAUUAUUGGGCGUAAAGGGCCCGCAGGCGGUUUCUUAAGUCUGAUGUGAAAGCCCCCGGCUCAACCGGGGAGGGUCAUUGGAAACUGGGAAACUUGAAUGCAGAAGAGGAGAGUGGAAUUCCACGUGUAGCGGUGAAAUGCGUAGAGAUGUGGAGGAACACCAGUGGCGAAGGCGACUCUCUGGUCUGUAACUGACUCUGAGGAGCGAAAGCGUGGGGAGCAAACAGGAUUAGAGACCCCUGUAGUCCCUGUCUCUUAUAU
rnacentral:rRNA from 1 species